rnacentral:rRNA from 1 species
GUCCACGCCUAACGAUGGAUACUAAGUGUCGGCGGGUUACCGCCGGUGCCGCAGCUAACGCAUUAAGUAUCCCGCCUGGGAGUACGGCCGCAAGGUUGAACUCAAGGAAUUGACGGGCCCGCACAAGCGGUGGAGCAUGUGGUUCAAUUCGACGCAACGCGAAGAACCUUACCCAGGCUGGACAAGCAGGUAGUAAACCUGAAAGGGCAAUGAGGUAGCAAUACCAUCCUGCUCAGGUGCUGCAUGGCUGUCGU